UAUCAAACUGAAAAAUAAAAUUCUCUAGAAAUGGCUUCUCGAUUCUGUCAUCCUUUUCUCUUCAGUGUUUUGUUGGUUGCUCUGGUUCUGACAGCAGGAGAAGCAACAGCAGAACCAAAAUUUGGAUUCCUGAAUCAUUGCAUCGGCCUUUGUUCUGGUGGAUUACCACAAUGCAAGAGCGAUUGCGCAAAAAUGGGCUUUAAGGAUGCUCUCUGUAUCGAUAAAAUAAAUAUAAAUGAAUGUUGUUGUCAAUGAUUCAUUUAUGCGAUACGGAUGACUAUUUUAUAAAACUUUAAUAAAAUAUGUGUUUCAAUUA